CAAAACCAAGCAAAAAUAAAACAUAAACGCAGACGUUCAUCACUGAAGAAGAUAAAUUGCAGAACCUGCCUCGCAACAAAAAACAGCCGGAGCCGCCGGGGGCCUGGGGGGGGAAGAGGCAGAGCCCGUGAGCCAGAGGGGGCAGGCAGGGCCUGGCAGGCCUGGCCCGGCAGAGCCCAGGAGGCAGAAGGGUCCUCGCGGCGCCCCGUCAGCACAGCCUCGCGCAGCUCGGGCAGUUCAGCAAAGGGCAGCACCGAUCGCAAGCUGCACACAGGAAGCUGGAUGCAAACGCCACACAAGAGCAGCCUGACGGGACAAGAGGAGCAGCGUCGGGGC